GACGAACGCUGGCGGCGUGCUUAACACAUGCAAGUCGAACGGAAAGGCCCUGCUUUUGUGGGGUGCUCGAGUGGCGAACGGGUGAGUAACACGUGAGUAACCUGCCCUUGACUUUGGGAUAACUUCAGGAAACUGGGGCUAAUACCGGAUAGGAGCUCCUGCUGCAUGGUGGGGGUUGGAAAGUUUCGGCGGUUGGGGAUGGACUCGCGGCUUAGCAGCUUGUUGGUGGGGUAGUGGCUUACCAAGGCUUUGACGGGUAGCCGGCCUGAGAGGGUGUCCGGCCACAUUGGGACUGAGAUACGGCCCAGACUCCUACGGGAGGCAGCAGUGGGGAAUAUUGCACAAUGGGCGGAAGCCUGAUGCAGCAACGCCGCGUGCGGGAUGACGGCCUUCGGGUUGUAAACCGCUUUCGCCUGUGACGGAGCGUGAGUGACGGUAAUGGGUAAAGAAGCACCGGCUAACUACGUG
rnacentral:rRNA from 1 species